rnacentral:tRNA from 1 species
GAGUCUAUGGUGUAGUUGGUUAUCACGUCUGUCUAACACACAGAAGGGCGGCAGUUCGAUCCUGUCUAGACUCU